AAACUACUCCCUCCGUCCGGGAAUACUUGUUGGAGAAAUGAAUUUAUGUAGACGUAUUUUAGUUAUAGAUACAUCUAUUUCUAUCUAUUUUAACAACAAGUAAUUCUGGACGGAGGGAGUAUUUC
rfam:Hordeum vulgare subsp. vulgare, WGS project CAJW01000000 data, contig: morex_contig_1564192